rnacentral:rRNA from 1 species
UGCGUAGGUGGGUAGGUAAGUCAGUGGUGAAAUCUUCAAGCUUAACUUGGAAACUGCCAUUGAUACUAUUUAUCUUGAAUACUUUGGAGGUAAGCGGAAUAUGUCAUGUAGCGGUGAAAUGCUUAGAUAUGACAUAGAACACCAAUUGCGAAGGCAGCUUACUACACAGUUAUUGACACUGAGGCACGAAGCGUGGGGAUCAAACA